AACGAACGCUGGCGGCAGGCUUAACACAUGCAAGUCGAGCGAAGACUUCGGCUUAGCGGCGGACGGGUGAGUAACGCGUGGGAACGUGCCUUUCACUACGGAAUAGUCCCGGGAAACUGGGUUUAAUACCGUAUACGCCCUUCGGGGGAAAGAAUUUCGGUGAGAGAUCGGCCCGCGUCUGAUUAGGUAGUUGGUGGGGUAAUGGCCUACCAAGCCGACGAUCAGUAGCUGGUUUGAGAGGAUGAUCAGCCACACUGGGACUGAGACACGGCCCAGACUCCUACGGGAGGCAGCAGUGAGGAAUCUUGGACAAUGGGGGCAACCCUGAUCCAGCCAUGCCGCGUGAACGAUGAAGGCCUUAGGGUUGUAAAGUUCUUUCAACGGUGAAGAUAAUGACGGUAGCCGUAGAAGAAACCCCGGCUAACUCCGUG
rnacentral:rRNA from 1 species